UACGAAGGGGGCGAGCGUUGUUCGGAAUUACUGGGCGUAAAGGGCGCGUAGGCGGCCUUGUUUGUCAGGCGUGAAAGCCCUGGGCUCAACCUGGGAGGUGCGUUUGGGACGGCAAGGCUAGGAGUUCGGGAGAGGAGAGUGGAAUUCCCAGUGUAGAGGUGAAAUUCGUAGAUAUGGGAGGAACACCGGUGGCGAAGGCGGCGACCUGGGUAGAUACUGACGCUGAGGUGCGAAAAGCGUGGGGAGCAAACAGG
rnacentral:rRNA from 1 species